rnacentral:rRNA from 1 species
CCUACGGGAGGCAGCAGUAGGGAAUCUUCCGCAAUGGACGAAUGUCUGACGGAGCAACGCCGCGUGAACGAUGAAGGCCUUCGGGUCGUAAAGUUCUGUUGUUAGGGAAGAACAAGUGCUAGUUGAAUAAGCUGGCACCUUGACGGUACCUAACCAGAAAGCCACGGCUAACUACGUGCCAGCAGCCGCGGUAAUACGUAGGUGGCAAGCGUUGUCCGGAAUUAUUGGGCGUAAAGCGCGCGCAGGCGGUUUCUUAAGUCUGAUGUGAAAGCCCCCGGCUCAACCGGGGAGGGUCAUUGGAAACUGGGAAACUUGAGUGCAGAAGAGGAAAGUGGAAUUCCAAGUGUAGCGGUGAAAUGCGUAGAGAUUUGGAGGAACACCAGUGGCGAAGGCGACUUUCUGGUCUGUAACUGACGCUGAGGCGCGAAAGCGUGGGGAGCAAACAGGAUUAGAUACCCUGGUAGUCCACGCUGUAAACGAUGAGUGCUAAGUGUUAGAGGGUUUCCGCCUUUAGUGCUGAAGUUAACGCAUUAAGCACUCCGCCUGGGGAUACGGUCGCAAGACUGAAACUCAAAGGAUUGACGG